AAAACGUAUACGAGUAGUGGGCUGCGCGUUCGGCAUUUCGUCAUCGCGUGAGAUCCCAGAGCUCAAUCAACGUGUUUAUCAAUUUCAAGAUUGUGAUUCUCGGUUAUAUCAAAUCGCGGCGUGACUCAGAAAGCCGUCGCCAUCGUCAGCGGCUGGAGAUGACAUAAUAAUUUGUCAAAAGGACAGCCAAGUCCUGGGUGGGGGUCUCGCAUUCCCAAUCCCUGCGUCCCACUCCGUCCAGGAUAUGGUGGGAACCGAACUGCGAUUGUCAUAAACAUUUUCCGCCAAGAACAUGUCAAAUAAAAUCUACAUUCAAAGUGCCCUCAAUCCACUUGUCAGUU